AUGGACGGCCUCCUCCAUUGGGAUUUCUCCCCCGGCCUCGCGGUGGAGGCACAGGUGCAUGCUCAGUUCCGAUCUACGGUUCACUUCGUCGAUGGACCAAACUCCAAGGAAUUUUUCUUAGAGGUCUCCUUCUCAUCUGCCUCUUUCCCUCUCUCGGAUGAAUCAGUGGGACUUGCCCCCCAAUCUUGUAUUGGUGGUCUCAGCUCGGGUUUUAAGGUUUGCCGACUAGCUGAUCGGAGAUUCCGGUUUUCGGUGGCCUCUAAUCGGGUGGGUCAUUUCAUUUAUGGAUUACAUGAUCGUGUUUGGCCGGACUUUGUCUGUCACUUUCAUCUCCAUCGACAUGCUACAGCUCCUAGGAGAUAUAAUGCAUGGCAUGCAGAUGUUGAGCUUGAGGGUCUUGCUUCAUCUCUGGGCCCGACCAUUAAAUCCAAUUGGUUGUCAUCUAAAGCCAACGCCCCGAUUGAUCCAACUUCUGUCAAGGUUUUUGAACAAUUGGGUUUUUUCCUCACCGACGGCAAGUUAUUCCGGUGA
rnacentral:rRNA from 1 species